UUAUUAUGUGUAUUAUAAAUCAAUUAAACUCGUAAAAACCAUGAUUCUUACCUUCGUUAGUGUUGCUAUAUACACGCUUAGUCAACUUUGGAGUCAAAAACGAUUGAACGGUAUUGAAAAGCGCCGCUACACUGACCACAACAUUCCAUUUGGCAACUAAACUAUCUGGGAGCAUAGCUAGUAUUUGAGACAUUGUUAUUUCUUAGGAUAUUAAAUUUCUAGUAGUGUGUAGUUGAGGGAUUACAGUACUAAAUUGGAGAAAAGCGACUGUGAGCAAUUUAUAACAUUGACAGGUUUUGCACUAACUUAAUUAGUAAAAUCGAUGCGAACAUUAUGUUUUAUAUCGCUAUGCUAAGACAGAUUUAGUAUAAUAAAACAACAAAGUAAGCUUAUUUUCAAUGUAAAAAGAGAUGCUUUUUUACUGAGGUUUCAAAGAGAUUUCUUUUUCAGUGCUGAUUUCGGGUUGGGAUUUACCGGUGAGAAUAUCCUUACAACUAGGUUAUUGCAUAAGUAACGUCCCGGUGAAUUGUUGACAUUGUACGAUUGUGAUAACUGGGGCUGACUUAGCACAUUAGCAAUUAGAAAGGUAGUAAGAGAUCCUC